CAAACAAAACCCUAUCCCCUUUACUACACUGCCUCACCGCCACUCACCCACCGUCAUCCCCUUUCCUUCUUUUUCCUAAAUUUAUACACCAGAACAUAACACACACACGGUAGAGAGAGGAGAGAGCACGGAGAGGAGAUCCGAGAGAGGGAGGGUACCACGCCGCCACCAGUCAUCGUCGCGCCACCGUCGCCGCACGUCGCUGCCACUGUCAAGGUUGCUGUCGCCGCCGUCCUGUGUUGCAACCGCGUCGCCAUUAAAGAAGAGGAGAGCGAGGGACUCGCGAAGCAAACGCCGUCGAGCCGAGUCCAGAGGAGAGGGGUGCGAUUCGCAGGCGAGAUGGAAAGAGACAGUCACGAAGAGAGGAGCGCCGCCGUUGUUGUCGCGGUGUGUGGGCUUCGCGAAGAAAGAGGGACGAACGCGAAGGGGGAGUCUGGUUCACGCUGUCGUGCCUCCACCGCCGCCAGGUUCGUCGCCGUUGCCGUUCGUUCUAGCCGCCGCUGCUGUCGUUGGAGUUGCCGAGAAGGGGAGCCCGAUACGAGAGGAACAGUGCACAAGGAAGAGGGAGAGAGGUCCGAUGCUGAGCUGGUUCCUACCACCGCUGUUCUGCCACGCUGCUGCUAGGGCCAGCCACCAUCUCCGAGCUCGCCGCCAUCGCUCAGGUCACCGGAAUCAACUGUUGGAGCUGCGGCUGUGUUGUACUUAGUUCCUUUGGGUACAAUAUAGUGGAGCUGUGGUUGCAGCUGCCGCUGAGUGCGGGCUGAGAGAAAAUGGUUUCUUUGACGCGUUUGGUUUUACGAGUUUCAGCGAGCUGAGGUAUGGGCGAUUUCUUAAACUCAUUUUACUUUCAAGAAUUGUUAUAAGUCUAUAUUAAUAUGAAAAAUAUAUUUUUAUGAUUUCGUAAGUUUUAUGAAUUGAGUUGCCUUGAAUGAAUGUAAAUGCUAGUUUGAAUGGUUUAUUGAUUGAUUAAAGAUGUUUAGUCGGAUUUUGUACUUGGAUUAAGGCUAUUAUGAUGAUGAUUGGACUGUAGCUGUUUUUGAUUAUUGAGUUGCAAAGUUGGUUUGAUUAAAUACUAUGUAAAAUAAUUUUCUUGAUUUGGGGUUUAAUUUGACAUUAAAAAUGAAUUGGCGAAUGAAAUGAUUUGAGAUAUUGGAAUGUGUUUUGUUGAUUUAUCGGAAAUGAAUGAGAAUUUGAAAAUGAUUUGAAUGAUUGACUUGUGUUCGGUUUGGUUUGGUUUGGUUAGGACCCGAAAAGGGUGGCAAAGUUCGAAUUUUAUGGGAGGUGUUGCUGAAAUUUUUAUGAGAAUUUUUGGAAGUUUUAUUUUUGGUUAAUUGGGAUUUGAAGAAUUGUUUUAUUUGAACUUGAUUUGACUAAAGAAAAGAGUAUGGUUUGAGACAUUUGGUUGAAUAAAAAAAUGAUUAUUAAAUUGCUUUUCAACAGAAUGAAUUUGGUUUGGUUAAUGACAAAGAGGAUUAUGUUUUCGUGUAUUUGAUUGAACGAAAAUGAAUUAAUACGAAUUAGAGAAUCAUGAUUCAAGGAUUUUGAUGAAUUUAAAGAAAUGAGAUUGGUUGUCUCUCUCUUAAAGCUUAGAGGUUUUCCCGUGAAAUUUGAUUAAUUGAAUCUUGACUUAAGGUAAAUUAAUUUGAUUUAAUAUUUAAUCUUUUGGGUUGAAGUUGAUUUGAGACUUUCGUUUUGGUGAAAAUGAGUUUUAUAAAAGAGAAAUAGAUUUGAAUUGUGUUUAAAGAGUGAUUUUGAUAUUUGAAACACAUGGGCAGUACGCAAGGGUUGUGGUUUAGUCCGACUUGCUCAAGGUCAAGAUUUUUAAAAGAAUAUGGUUUUGAAUGUGAUUACUGACUGGCAAGGAUCAUGGUGGUGUACCGUUUGUCCAGUGUUGAGUAUAUUGAUUAAGAUGGAUUGUGGAUAUAACUUAUUGUAUAUGAUUUAUACGCCUGACAAGGAUCGUGGUGGUGUACCGCUUGUCUAGUGUCGCGAUGGACGUGGGGAUCGUGGUUGUUUACCGCUCACGGGUUGUGAAACUGUUUGUAGGGGUUGUGGUUAUUUACCGCCCACAGGUUUUUGUUUCUUUUUCAAUUGAGAACGUCUGUAGGGAUCGAGGUAGUUUAUCGCCCGCAGAUAGUGGGGAUCGUGGUACUGUACCGCUUACCAGUUUUAAAGAGGACGAUAUCCGAGUUAGCUACCGGAUGUGUCAGGUUCUGGCAAAGUAACCGACACGUGAACUCACGGCCAGUAGGACAGGCAUGAAUCAUGUUGCAUUGUGUGUUUUGUUUGGGUGUGCUUAAGUGUUUUGGUUUGCCUAUCUGAUGAAUUCUGUUCAAUUAGUAACUAUGAUACUUGCUGUAACUGUUCUUUAUAUGUGUUUGUCUUGAAUUUGUUUUUGUGAUUGAUUCUGUUUGGGAUUGAGUUUCGAUGGUGAAUUGUUUUGAAUUGGGCCGGAGGCCGAGGUGAUUUGAUUAGGGCCAGAGGCCGAGAUUUGAUUAUAUAUUUGGCCGGAGGCCAUGAUUGGUUGUGUUUGGGCUGGAGGCCAUGAAUGAUUGAAUUAGUGGUAAGUUUUGGUUAAAAUGUUAUUUUGCUUGAAAUUUUUGUAAGAAAAAUACGAAUCUUAGAUUUGAAUAAUAAACUGAUAAUCACUGCGUUUUGAAAAUUGUUUUAUUUAAAAUAUCUUCUUACGACAAUUCUUAAAAACCACUUACUGAUAAUCCUUUUGAGGACGUCUUUUCAGGACGGACGAGGAAGUUGAUGAAGUUUUUUUUUGAUAAGUCCUUAGCUGUACCGUUUCUGUUUGUACAUAUAUUCGUCAUAGUUUUUCCUCGCCUUUGUCAUUAUAAUUUUGUAAGAGGGAUAAGAGUUGUAUGAUAUGUAUGUAUCUAACAUUUGUAAGUUACUUGUAUAAGAAGUUUUGUAUAUAUGUAUAUGCAUAUUUGUUAUCAAAUAAAAAGAAUUUUCACUUUCUCAAAGAAA